UACGUAGGGGGCAAGCGUUGUCCGGAAUUAUUGGGCGUAAAGAGCGUGUAGGCAGCCCGAUUAGUCCGCUGUGAAAGUCCAGGGCUCAACCCUGGAAUGCCGGUGGAUACUGUCGGGCUAGAGUCCGGAAGGGGCGAGUGGAAUUCCUGGUGUAGCGGUGAAAUGCGCAGAUAUCAGGAGGAACACCAAUGGCGAAGGCAGCUCGCUGGGACGUGACUGACGCUGAGACGCGAAAGCGUGGGGAGCAAACAGG
rnacentral:rRNA from 1 species